rnacentral:rRNA from 1 species
AUUGAACGCUGGCGGCAUGCCUUACACAUGCAAGUCGAACGGCAGCACGGGAGCAAUCCCGGUGGCGAGUGGCGAACGGGUGAGUAAUGUAUCGGAACGUGCCCAGUCGUGGAGGAUAACGUAGCGAAAGCUACGCUAAUACCGCAUACGAUCUAUGGAUGAAAGCGGGGGACCGUAAGGCCUCGCGCGAUUGGAGCGGCCGAUAUCAGAUUAGGUAGUUGGUGGGGUAAAGGCCUACCAAGCCGACGAUCUGUAGCUGGUCUGAGAGGACGACCAGCAACACUGGGACUGAGACACGGCCCAGACUCCUACGGGAGGCAGCAGUGGGGAAUUUUGGACAAUGGGCGCAAGCCUGAUCCAGCAAUGCCGCGUGCAGGAUGAAGGCCUUCGGGUUGUAAACUGCUUUUGUACGGAGCGAAAAGGCUCUCUCUAAUACAGGGGGCUCAUGACGGUACCGUAAGAAUAAGCACCGGCUAACUACGUGCCAGCAGCCGCCGUAA